rnacentral:rRNA from 1 species
UGAGUCCGAGUCUCUACGGAGACGAAGUGGCGCUCGUCAGGCUUCCGAGAAAAGCUCUAACCACGCUAAUUUUCAGUGACCUGUACCCGAAACCGACACAGGUAGGGGGGUAGAGAAUACCAAGGGGCGCGAGAUAACUCUCUCUAAGGAACUCGGCAAAAUGACCCCGUAACUUCGGGAGAAGGGGUACCUUCAGUGAUGAAGGUCGCAGUGAAGAGGCCCAGGCGACUGUUUACCAAAAACACAGGUCUCCGCUAAGUCGCAAGACGAUGUAUGGGGGCUGACGCCUGCCCAGUGCCGGAAGGUUAAGGAAGUUGGUCAGGGAGAGAUCCUGAAGCUGACGACCGAAGCCCCGGUGAACGGCGGCCGUAACUAUAACGGUCCUAAGGUAGCGAAAUUCCUUGUCGGGUAAGUUCCGACCCGCACGAAAGGCGUAACGAUCUGGGCGCUGUCUCGGAGAGAGGCUCGGCGAAAUAGGAUUGUCUGUGAAGAUACGGACUACCUGCACCUGGACAGAAAGACCCUAUGAAGCUUUACUGUAGCUUGGAAUUGGCUUCGGGCUUGGUUUGCGCAGGAUAGGUGGGAGGCAUUGAAGACUUGCUUGUGGGUGAGUCUGAGCCAACGGUGAGAUACCACUCUAACCAGGCUAGAAUUCUAACUCUGUCCCUGCACGGGGAGGAGGACAGUUUCAGGUGGGCAGUUUGACUGGGGCGGUCGCCUCCUAAAAGAUAACGGAGGCGCGCAAAGGUUCCCUCAGGCUGGUUGGAAAUCAGCCGCAUAGUGCAAAGGCAGAAGGGAGCUUGACUGCGAGACCUACAAGUCAAGCAGGGUGGAAACACGGCCUUAGUGAUCCGACGGCACCGAGUGGAAGGGCCGUCGCUCAACGGAUAAAAGUUACUCUAAGGAUAACAGGCUGAUUUCCCCCAAGAGUUCACAUCGACGGGGAGGUUUGGCACCUCGAUGUCGGCUCAUCGCAACCUGGGGCGGAAGUACGUCCCAAGGGUUGGGCUGUUCGCCCAUUAAAGCGGUACGUGAGCUGGGUUCAGAACGUCGUGAGACAGUUCGGUCCAUAUCCGGUGCAGGCGCAAGAGCAUUGAGAGGAGUCUUCCUUAGUACGAGAGGACCGGGAAGAACGCACCGCUGGUGUACCUGUUAUCGUGCCAACGGUAAACGCAGGGUAGCCAAGUGCGGAGCGGAUAACCGCUGAAAGCAUCUAAGUGGGAAGCCCACCUCAAGAUGAGUGCUCUCAUGGUGUUAAACCAGUAAGGUCACGGGCAGAACACCCGUUGAUAGGCGGUCGGUGGAAGUUCAGCAAUGGAUGAAGCCUAGCCGUACUAACAGACCGAGGGCUUGACC